rnacentral:rRNA from 1 species
UACGGAGGAUCCAAGCGUUAUCCGGAAUUACUGGGCGUAAAGAGUUGCGUAGGUGGCUUAGUAAGCAGACAGUGAAAUGAUGCAGCUUAACUGCAUGCCCAUUGUCUGAACUGCUAGGCUUGAGCAUAAGAGAGGUACCUGGAAUUGCUGGUGUAGGAGUGAAAUCCGUAGAUAUCAGCAGGAACACCGAUGGCGUAGGCAGGGUACUGGCUUAUUGCUGACACUAAGGCACGAAAGCGUGGGGAGCGAACGGG